CGACGAUGCGUAGGGGUUCUGAGAGGAAGGUCCCCCACACUGGUACUGAGACACGGACCAGACUCCUACGGGAGGCAGCAGUGAGGAAUAUUGGUCAAUGGGCGCGAGCCUGAACCAGCCAAGUCGCGUGAGGGAUGACGGUCCUACGGAUUGUAAACCUCUUUUGCCGGGGAGCAAGCGUGCGUUCGUGAACGCGCGUCGAGAGUACCCGGAGAAAAAGCAUCGGCUAACUCCGUGCCAGCAGCCGCGGUAAUACGGAGGAUGCGAGCGUUAUCCGGAUUUAUUGGGUUUAAAGGGUGCGUAGGCGGGAUGCCAAGUCAGCGGUAAAAAUGCGGUGCUCAACGCCGUCGAGCCGUUGAAACUGGCGUUCUUGAGUGGGCGAGAAGUAUGCGGAAUGCGUGGUGUAGCGGUGAAAUGCAUAGAUAUCACGCAGAACUCCGAUUGCGAAGGCAGCAUACCGGCGCCCUACUGACGCUGAGGCACGAAAGCGUGGGUAUCGAACAGGAUUAGAUACCCUGGUAGUCCACGCAGUAAACGAUGAAUGCUAACUGUCCGG
rnacentral:rRNA from 1 species